rnacentral:rRNA from 1 species
AACGGGUGGAGCUUGCGGUUUAAUUGGAUUCAACGCCGGAAAUCUUACCGGGACUGACAGCAAUAUGAAGGCCAGGCUGAAGACUUUGCCGGAUUAGCUGAGAGGUGGUGCAUGGCCGUCGUCAGUUCGUACUGUGAAGCAUCCUGUUAAGUCAGGCAACGAGCGAGACCCACGCCCACAGUUGCCAGCGUACUCUCUGGAGUGACGGGUACACUGUGGGACCGCCGCUGCUAAAGCGGAGGAAGGAAUGGGCAACGGUAGGUCAGUAUGCCCCGAAUAUCCCGGGCUACACGCGAGCUACAAUGGUUGGUACAAUGGGUAUCUACCCCGAAAGGGGACGGGAAUCUCCUAAAACCAAUCUUAGUUCGGAUUGAGGGCUGCAACUCGCCCUCAUGAAGCUGGAAUCCGUAGUAAUCGCGUUUCAACAGAACGCGGUGAAUACGUCCCUGCUCCUU